rnacentral:lncRNA from 1 species
UACAAUGAAGGGGAAGAGACAGCAGGAUGAUUGGCCAGAUAGGUAGAGUUAUGCUCCCCUGAGGAAGGAGAGAGACUGUGAGCUCUCUGGUGCAGCAAAGUACUCUGUUAGAAACAGCCUCUCUGUCUGCCCCUUUCUUCACUGCUUGAAGCAUGGCAUGAAAGAACAAAAUCUAACAACUCACUGAUAUCUUGGACACUCACAAGAUGGAUAAGUCUCUAAAAGU